UAAUUUUUUUGUUACCUACGGCGUUUUCAAAGAACAAUAUUAAGUUUAUAGCCUAUUCAUUACAAUUUCAGGAGUAUUUUCCCUUUAAAAUUGAUAAACCUAUUAAAUGCCUUAAAUAACUAAUUUGUUAAUUUUUUUCGAGUUCCGGCAUUUUUGCUUAACAGGGAAGAAUUGACCUAUUAUUGUAAUAAAAGAAAACAAUAAGAUUUAGUUACAUUUGAUAUUUUUGUUAAUUGUAUUAAAUUAUAAAGCAUAAUUAUUGAUUUUACAAAAUAUAACGCUGGCAUGUGUUCAGUAUCGAACAUUCACCAACCGGCACCGCAUCAAGCUAUCAAGGUAGUCACAACAACCCACAAGUACCAAAAAGUACUAGUAGUUUUAUCUUUUAUCAUUCGAUUUAAAAGAUUAUAAAGAAAUAUAUUUUUAAUAACUUAACGAUUGUAUACAAUGUUUGAGCUUGCAAGUAUUUUUUACAUAAUUCAACUGCUUCCGGCUUCGUAUUCAGUAUGAACAAUUUAAAACAGCCAUGUACAAAUUAAGGUCAAUAAUUUUCAAACGAAUAUUCUACUAUUAGUUUUGAAAUUGAUCAUAACAAAAAAUGCCUAUUAUUUUUUUUAAAUAUAACGUAGAGAAUGAUAACAAUGAAAAUACUUAACGUUUUCUGAGAAAUAGCUUAGGUAAUAUUCUGAAGCUAAGCUUAACCAGAAGAAAUGUAUGGUUAUUUUUAAAUAUUAAAUAAUAUUCGUAUUGUAAAAUUGAAAUACAUAAUUAUUAUCAUUGAAUUCAUUUUUUUUUGUCGUUAAUAGUUAUUAUUAUUAAGACUAAUAGACAAUAGAAUAUAGACUAGAUUACUAGAUUACGAGUAAGUCUAACUCUGAACUUACAGUAAGCACUUGCAAGGUCGUUGUUAAAAUAUCUAGCUCACUUGGCUAGUUUAUAAUUUAUUUUAUAUAUUUAUUUAUUUUUAUGGCUAUAGUUAAUGUUAUUUUAUCAACAAAAAAAUUAUGUUUACAUGGUUAUUUAAACUCAUUUUGAAUGUUUAAAACAGUUCAUAAAAAAGAAGCAAGCAACCAAGUAGGUAACUUUUCUGAUGUACAGAUAUCAAGUGAUUAGAUUAUAUUAAAAAUAACUCGGAAAUGAUCUCGUGAAAAGCCUAGACAACGAUACCUAAAUAAAGUGAAACAAGGUAUGUAUAAGAGCUGUUGAUCAAUGAAUAAGAAUUCUUUACGCCAAGAUUUAUAGAGAAACUUAGUGGAAGUUGUUUUAAAACCUUCAAGCAAAAUAAUAUAUAUAUUACGAUAUAUACGUCUACGUCUGAUUAAAUUAUUUUUUACAAAAAACAUAGAAUUUAUUAUAGGCAGGCAGGUAUAGGUAUAUAUUUUGUGCAAUACCUAUGUGACCUAUGUCAACACGAUAACAUAGCAUGCUGUAUACGAGAAUGCACGUAAAAUAUACGAUCUAAAAUCAAAUGAGCAUACGUGACUGUAAGAUUUGGAAGUAAUAUUCAGGUCAAAUUUAAAUGGAUUGUAAAAUUCUGUCCAUAUUCUGAAGAAUGUAAAAUGGUCUAAUAUCCAAGACCGUUGUAUUAAGAAAAAAAUGUGUGAUCUCUAUCGUACAAAUUGUAAAUGACUAAAAUUAAAAAUAAAAAUGAACAUAAUUACAUUAACCCUAUAAACUUUUGACAGUAAACCUACUCAGUAUCAUACGGUAAAAAUAAUUAAUAAAUAUUCAGGGAGUUAGGGCAUGUAUAAAAUGAUCGUAAUAUAGUGAAUAGAGUAAAAAUCUUGAAAAUGAAAUACAAAGUUUCUCAUAAAGUGCGUUACCAAUUAAAAUUGGUUAUUAAAGCAAAUUUUAGUUUUUGGUGCCAGGAUAACACACCUUUUCUCAUAAGUCUGUUUUAAAUGUUUUAAUGGAAUUAAACUGAAUACAAAGUUAAAAGUAAAAUGUAACAAUAUUUUGACGACUUUGCGCAUAAUAAAGAAUAUUAACAAUUUCGAAAUAUAAUUACC